GUUUCAGGCAUCCACGGGGGCUCUUGGCUUGUACCCACCAUGGAUAAGGGGGAACUACUGAAACUCACAUACAUGAAAGAAUCAGAGACCUCACAUAUGUGAGAGGUCCCGAGACAGAAAGGAAAAAUGAGUAAGCCACCCAAAAUGGACCACUGCUAAUUGCCAGACACUGGGCUGAACAUUUAUAGAGUCAUUAUCUCAUUUAGUCCUCAUCACAAGCUAUGGGUAACUGGAGGAUGAUCCUGCCGUCAACUAACAGGGAAUAAAGGAAAUGCAUAUUUUGUGGAGAAAAUCAGUUCUGAUUUAAAAAAACUAGUAACAUUUAUAGCUGUGCAGACAACUAUAACUGGCCAAUACACAUGACAAUAUGCUCAACCUCACCACUGACUAAAGAAUAGAAGUUAAAACAAGAUAAUUUACUUUGAACAUCGACACAGAGAAGAUUGAAGAUAUAGAGUAUUGGCAAGGACAUUCAUGGGGCUAUAAUUUGUACAAUCAUUUUGGUGGGCAAUUUGGAAAGGUUUACUGAAAUAGUUAAUGCAUUUUCUGCUUGACCCCCAUCGUUCCACUUCAAUAAAUUUAUUUGACAGCUGGCAAAAAUAAACACACCUGAACUGAAGCAUCGUAUU